CAAACAGGAAAACUGGAAUCACCUGAUAUGAAAGUGGAAUAAUUUCUUCAUCCUAACUCCUAUGAGAUUUGUUCAAAUUCUUAGUGAUUCUCCAAUAGUUUAUGUAUCCAAAUUAAGCUUCUAACAUAGCGAUUCAUCCUGGUUUGAUUAGAAUGACAUUGUCAUAUUCCCAAACAUGAAAAUUGGGAUCACCUUAUUUGAAAGUGGAAUAACUUCUUCAUCCUAAGUCCUAUGAGAUUUAUUCAACUUCUUGGUGAUUUCUCACUACGUUCUGUAUCCAAAUUCAGCUUCUUACAUCGCUAUUCAUCUUGGAUUGAUUAGAAUGAUGAAGAAGUUAUCAUAGUCUGAAACAUAAAAACUGGAAUCACCUGAUUUGAAAGUGGGAUAACUUCUUUAUCCUAACUCAUAUGUGAUUUAUUCAACUUCCUGAUGAUUCUCCACUACUUCAUGUAUCCAAAUACAACUUCUUACGUAGCGAUUCAUCCUGGUUUGAUUAGAAUGACGAAAAAGUUGUCAUAUUUCCAAAUAG